rnacentral:rRNA from 1 species
UACGGAGGGUGCGAGCGUUGUCCGGAAUCACUGGGCGUAAAGGGCGCGUAGGCGGCGCGGGAAGUCAUCGGUGAAAGCUCAGGCUCAACUCUGAGUCGGCCGGUGAUACUCUCGUGCUUGAGCACUGUAGAGGCAGGUGGAAUUCCGGGUGUAGGCGGUGGAAUGCGUAGAGAUCCGGAAGAACACCGGUGGCGAAGGCGGCCGCUGG